CCCCGCGGCCGCCGAGGCCGUUAGGGCCUCUCCCUCCCCGCCAGCAGCCGGCCCUCCGCGCCGCCACUGGUUGCCAUGGGGACGCGGCCAGAACAAGCCGCCGCCGCGGAGGGAUGAAAUUGUUUUGGAAAGGAUGAGGAGAGCAGGAAGUUCCUGAGUCUAAAGGAGUGGAAGAGUGUGACCAGAGUGCUGGUAUGAGAUGGCAAGAGAGCUCAACCCUGAAAGAGAAUUAGAGGACACAGCAAGAAACUGCCCAUUUAUGCCAUGUGAAAGGCACUGUGGAAGAAGAAGGAUCCAGGAAGAGAAGAGUGCAAAGAAAACUUCAUCUGAAAUAAGCAAGGUAUAAUGAAGCUGGGUCUUCGGAUGAAAACUAUUUGCCACUCUUGGCCUAAGAGGAAAUACUCAAUCUCAGGACUUGAGUUCCUGAACUUAAGUGAAAACAAGACCAGAAUAUGUUUUAUGGUAUACUAAAUUAGAACGUAUAUCUUGGUAUACCUAAUUCUGACAAAUAACCUUAAUUAAGAGAUGUAUGUCACCACUAUAGAACUCUAUUAUUCCAGUGAAAUUGCUACAGUUGAAAAAAAAACCCAUUUAGGUUUCUGACCAUGAACAUGAAGAUAAACUUGGAAACUUUACAGCACUAUGAUUAAUAGAAUUUUAUUACUUCAGAGUUUUCAGGGUGGUGCAAAUCUCCUCACUAGCAAUACGGGCAUAACACUAUAGAAGAAAAAAAUGUUUCUUCAAGUCAACAUGUAGUUAAUUCACAUUUGGAGAUAAGAAUACCGUGACAACAUGACAAUUUAAUGAAUUUUGAACAGCUUUAGAAAGGGGAUUAUUAAAAGAAAAAGAAAAGAAGUGUUUUGUAGUAGAAAAACAGCACACCAGAAUUAUCUGGACAAUUUUUUAACAGUCAUUUGCAAGGACCUAUUUUUCCCUUCUUUUAUCAUAAUUUCCUUGCUUCCUCCCUCCCUCCCUUCCUUCCUUCCUCUCUUUCUUUAAUUUCAUUUUUACUACUACAGUGGUUGUAUUAUUUGCCUAUGAUGAAAACGAGAUUCUGUACAAGAUUCAAGAAGCAUACUUAAAUCCAUCAUUAAAAAUCUCCUGGCAUUUUUCA